CGGGAAGAGUUAUCUUUU
rnacentral:snRNA from 1 species